UACGAAGGGGGCUAGCGUUGCUCGGAAUCACUGGGCGUAAAGGGUGCGUAGGCGGGUCUUUAAGUCAGAGGUGAAAUCCUGGAGCUCAACUCCAGAACUGCCUUUGAUACUGAGGAUCUUGAGUAUGGGAGAGGUGAGUGGAACUGCGAGUGUAGAGGUGAAAUUCGUAGAUAUUCGCAAGAACACCAGUGGCGAAGGCGGCUCACUGGCCCAUAACUGACGCUGAGGCACGAAAGCGUGGGGAGCAAACAGG
rnacentral:rRNA from 1 species